CUAGCUGGCUUCCUCUUGGCCACUCGCGGGGGUGAGGGGAAGCCGUAGGAACCCGGGAGGAAGCGGAGGAGCGAGCGGGAGGCAGCGGUGGCUCCUGUCGACCUUCGGCAAGACUGACCGCAGGGAGGCCGAAAAGCGGGCACGCGCGGCGGAGAGGCGGGCGGAAGGCCGGAGCUUAUUUAAUGAAAAGUGCCAUAGACUGAAAAACCAAACAUGAGGGUAGCAGGUGCUGCAAAGUUGGUGGUAGCUGUGGCAGUAUUUUUACUGACAUUCUAUGUUAUUUCUCAAGUAUUUGAAAUAAAAAUGGAUGCAAGUUUAGGAAAUCUGUUUGCAAGGUCAGCAUUGGACGCAGUUGCACGUUCUACAAAACCUCCCAGGUAUAAAUGUGGGAUCUCAAAAGCUUGCCCUGAGAAGCAUUUUGCUUUUAAAAUGGCAAGUGGAGCAGCUAAUGUGGUAGGACCCAAAAUCUGCCUGGAAGACAAUGUUUUAAUGAGUGGUGUUAAGAAUAAUGUUGGAAGAGGGAUCAAUGUUGCCUUGGUAAAUGGAAAAACAGGAGAUCUAAUAGACACCAGAUAUUUUGACAUGUGGGGAGGAAAUGUGGCCCCAUUUAUUGAGUUUCUGAAGGCCAUACAAGAUGGAACAAUAGUCUUAAUGGGAACAUAUGAUGAUGGAGCAACCAAACUCAAUGAUGAGGCCCGGCAGCUCAUUGCUGAAUUGGGGAGUACAUCUAUUACUCAUCUUGGUUUUAGAGACAACUGGGUCUUCUGUGGUGGAAAAGGCAUUAAGACAAAAAGCCCUUUUGAACAGCACAUAAAGAACAAUAAGGACACAAACAAAUAUGAAGGAUGGCCUGAAGUUGUAGAAAUGGAAGGAUGCAUCCCCCAGAAGCAAGACUGAUGUGGAGAAAAUUGAAGGGACCAUACUUUCACUUGCUAAUGGGAAAGCCCUAACCGAAAAACUACAUAAUUCACAGGUUGAAACCUAAUCCCCAACGUGAUGGUAUUAUUUGGAGGUGGGGCCUUUUGGAGGUGAUUAAGUCAUGAGGGUGGAGCCCUCCUGAACGGGAUUAUUGCCCUUAUCAAGCAGACCCCAGAGAGCUCCCUGGCUGGGCUUCUCUGCCACGUGAGGACGCAGUGAGAAGAUGGCCAUCUGCGAACCAGGAAGCAGGCCGUUUCCAGACGCCGAGUCUAUUGACACCUUGAUCUUGGACUUCCCAGUCUCCAGAACUGUGCUGUUGGUACUGCUUGGAUGUCACCUGAUCAGAUGAACAAACUCAGUACUGGUGCGAGGAAUUCUUUGCAGGGUCUUAGCCUUCUGCGUCACCAGUGGAAUGAGAUGGCAGACCUGGAAAUUGGCUUCUCUGCACCCCCGUGUAGAGGGAACCUGAUGAGAGAAGUACUGUGUGCUUCGUUUGACAAGAAUAGAAAUGAAUUUCAAAGAAAAUGUCUUGCAGGUCCAAGCUCGGAGCAGAGGACAAGUGAAAGCAAACGAUGCUGAGGGGUAGAAAUAUGUUCAGUCUUGGGGAAGACUGUGGUCUCUGAGGGUUGUGAUUCUCAUGGGGAGACCCUGGGUGGAAGAAGGAGAGUGGUUGGUGAGGAUAUCCUGAGGUGUGAGGAGUGAGCCCGUGUGCCCUUGACCAAGGGGAGUGCACCUUUCCCUGGUGACUUUCUGUUCUCCCUCAGGGAGAGAACCUGGGAUUUAAGAUCAGUAAAUGAGGUGACACUUCAACUCCUAUGGAAAUCUGAAACUUUUGGCCUGGGAAUGGGGUUGAGAGCCAAUUCUUGUGGAACUGUUAAAAUCCCAUUAUGAAGAAAAACAAAUCCCGUUACAAAAAUACCCUGGAGAAGUUUCCUUACAGUUCUACAGCACUGGGAUUGUGGGAUGGGCAUAGUUACAGGCACUGUGGCAAUUGAAAUUCUGACAUUGUAGUUAAUAUAUUAAGUCAAAAAAUUUUAGAGUGUAGUUUCUCAAGAAGUGAUUUGGGUGAAGAAAAAGUGUUUAAGCUAGCAGAGGGGAGAAUUUUUUCUCAGAAAUUUAUCUUUCAGCUUGUGAAAGUGUUAAGCCUGGACCCAUUAAAUAUCAGGCAUGUUAAGGAGGAUUUAUCACAUUUACUUUUUCAGUUUUCCCAUCUUGCUGUUGUACCAUAGGCUAUUUCUUGCCUUGCUUGCAUAGAGCCUUGUGUGGAGGAAAAAUGAGUUGUUUGCCAGGGAGUUUGAGAUCAAGCAAUUAAAAUGGGAAAGUCUUGUCUUGCCGAGUAUACAUGGUUCCUGGAGAUACGAUUUGAAUCUUUCUUCCUUCAAGUCAGCUAAGUGUAUUAUAGUGUUCUGGAUAACUAACUGUCUCCAAAUGGUGGGUUUAAUUCCUCAGUAUUUGAUGGCCUUUGGAAGGUGAUGCAAAAAAAUACCGGCAGCUCACCAAAUUGCCUAUAAUAUUUGGAUGAAAAGCUCUUCUGGUUCCACAUCUUAAGUAAAACCAAACACAUCAGUACUGACAGUACUUCAGAAAAUUAAAGUGUUUCUAAAAUAUUUACUGUGAAUAUCAUGUGGUUACAAAUCUGCAAAAUGGGGUCAUAGCACCUAACUUACACAGUUCAAUUCCAUUGUAUUCUUAGUAUAACUAUCAUAGUUCCUUAAAAAACAAACAAAAAACCACCAACAACAAAACCAACUAUCACCCCGAUCAUGAAUAAGGAAAUAAGGCCGUUAUUUGUAUUCAAACAAAUUAAAGUGUUUUUGUGUUGUGUGAAGUAUUAUUAUCAGGGAAAUGCUUUAAUUAACCAACUUCCUUAUCCAGAGAUUACAGAUAAUGCUGUUUGAUACGUUUUUCUUGAUCAUGUUUCAAGAUAAUCAUCAUUGCCUCUAACCAUUGCCUCUGUUAAGCAGUUCCCAGUUUACAAAAUGUUGAACUCGUAAAUUGAAAAUUAAUACACUAGAGUGUAACUUCCCUCCCCUUUUAUCAUCAUAAAGGGCAUUUAAACAAAUCAAGGCACUUUUUACCCACAGUGAUUGUCUGGCAGUGAGCCUGAUCCAUGUGAUACCAGAAAGCUGUUUCCUAAACACAUCAUUAGAACUGGGGACUGUCCAGUAUAGAGGACCCUUUAUGGUAACAUAACUGCCUGGUUUUUCUCUGUGGACUCAUUCCUAUUCUCAAACUAUGUGGGUUUAGUUGGAAUGAACCCCACUGCCAUUUCCCAGCACGGGUCUUGCUUGCUUUAAAAUGAUCAGUGUAUUUACCAUCCAACCCCAAUCCCCAAUGGCCAUUGUGAUUGGCUCAGGGAUAGGUACAUUAACCAAUCAGAGCCAAUGAUGACUUUUGCUGGGCAUUCUGAGAAAUAAGUUUGCCAUCUCUCUUGUGUGAGCAACCAAAAAAAAAAAAAAAAGAAUCUCUCCCUUUCCUUAGAAUGAGUAGUAGGAGAAUGUUAGAUCUGGAAGGAAGUGUGGCAGCCAUGUUGAUGAGAAAAGCCGAGAGCCCAGAGCUGCUGAGACUAGGGUAUUGGGGGGGUUGGCACAGAACCCUGUGGAGCCUGCAGUCGAAGACAACUUCACAGAAGCCAGACUCUUUAGGCUGGAGACGGAGAGACAUGAGCCCUGGGAACAUGGUGUGAGCUUUUGGAUCAAACUUCACCUGAAUCGGUCACAACUCUAGACUUUUCAGCCACUGAGUCAGUACAUUUCCUUUAAUGUUUGUCAGUCUGGGUUGCUUUUUUUUGUUACCUGCACCAUAAGGAGCCCUAAACCAUGAAGGCACAAUAGCCUAAACUGGAUAGAAGCGUUUGGGCCCCAGAACGUGUAUUUCCAGGAGCACCAUGCUGCUACCUAUACUACGAUGGGGACUGGGAAGGAAAUGGGCCAAAGCUAGGCAGUCAACCAGUAAAACAGGUGAGACAUUCAUGGAUGGCUUCCAUGGUGAUGCCAGGGAGACUGAAAAGAAGAAACCAAAGACACAGCUUGGGAGUUGGGAGUUCUUGCUCAGGCAGGCGGGGGUUACGGGGUGGUGCUAAUGGCUGAAUAGUAGUCAUGUAUUUGUGAAUUAAAGUCUCCCUGGUUCUCACAAUCGGUUGGUAAGUUAAUUACGAAAAGUUUUCUAG